rnacentral:lncRNA from 1 species
GGCUUCUUCAUCAACAACAUGACCUCUCCGAUGAUGCAUGAGUAGUUCACCAUAGACCUUCGGGUCCAUAGCUAGUAGCUAGAUGACUUCUUCUCUCUGUUGGAUCUUCAAUACAAAGUUCUCCAUGAUCUUCAUGGAGAUGUAUCUGAUGUAAUCUUCUUUUGCGGUGUGUUUGUCGAGAUCCAACGAAUUGUGGAUUUAUGAUCAGAUU